rnacentral:rRNA from 1 species
GCAUAUCAAUAAGCGGAGGAAAAGAAACUAACAAGGAUUCCCCUAGUAACGGCGAGUGAAGCGGGAUGAGCUCAAAUUUAAAAUCUUGCAGCCUCAGGUUGUACGAGUUGUAGUCUAGAGAAUCGUUUUCCGCGUUGGCCUGUGUACAAGUCCCUUGGAACAGGGCGUCAUAGAGGGUGAGAAUCCCGUCCUUGACACAGAUUACCAAUGCUUUGUGAUGCGAUCUCGAAGAGUCGAGUUGUUUGGGAAUGCAGCUCAAAAUGGGUGGUAAAUUCCAUCUAAAGCUAAAUAUUGGCGAGAGACCGAUAGCGAACAAGUACCGUGAGGGAAAGAUGAAAAGCACUUUGGAAAGAGAGUUAAACAGUACGUGAAAUUGUUAAAAGGGAAACGAUUGAAGUCAGUCAUGCUCUCCGAGACUCAGCCGAUUCUGUCGGUGUACUUCUCGGUUGGCAGGCCAGCAUCAGUUUCGAUCUGUGGAAAAGGUUGGAGGGAAUGUGGCAUCCUCGGAUGUGUUAUAGCCCUUCUUCGAAUACAUAGAGCGGGACUGAGGAACGCAGCGUGCCUUUUAUUAGGUUGACCUUCGGGUACAAACACGCUUAGGAUGCUGGCAUAAUGGCUUUAAACGACCCGUCUUGAAACACGGACC